GCGGAGGGGUAGCAGCCAGUGCGGCCCCUGGACAAAGCUCAACCACCUGGAAUCAGAAUUUAGCUCUGCCACAGAUCAGCUAUGACCUUGGACAAAUUAUAUAACCAUUGUGGCCUGUUUUCCUGGUCUGGAAAGAGGGAUAAGAGCAGUGCUCACUUCAUGAGGAUCAUAAUGGAGAUUAACAUGAGUUGGUCCAAUGCACUUAGCACAGCUCCUGCAACGCAGUGAUUGCUGCACCCAGAGCCUGUUCCUCUCCCAACUCCUUGAAAUUCUCAGCUCCUUCCUCAAGUCCCUGCUCCUAUGAAUUGGUUACACCUCCAUCAUGCUGCAAAAAUUAAUUUUGUUAUACGCCUGUGUCAUUCAGAGCUAUCAUUCCUGAAGCUUUUGGUCCUGCUCCAACAGUGGCGUUUGCAAUCCAGGAUUGUCAUGCAGUUUCCAUCAUUAUCUUCUAUGGAGUUCUUCAUUCCCACAUCUGUGGCCCUUAAAAUCCUAUGGUUGAGUGCCUGCCUUGGAUCAGCAGUCAGUUCGUUACCUUGGUUCUCAGACGAUGCUUGCAACAACGUCAUGCGAUUCGCCCACUCUUGGGUAGAUGGAGACAUUGGGGCUCAGGUGUGGGUAAGUGAUUGUGUGACUCCUUGUUAAGCGGCAGAACCGGGACUCAAAUUCACACAGAUCUGAUUCCCAACCCUGUGGCCCUAAGCACAGUGUUAUUAGACCA
rnacentral:lncRNA from 1 species